UGUUGUAUGAGUGCCAAUGAGACAACUCUCCAUCCAAGUCACAAUUUAUAAAGGUAAAUCAUUAUAGGUCAAGUAUUAGUAAACUUAUUUCUGAAAUAUGUAUCUCUCUGAUUUCUAAUAUAUCCAAAUGAUAUAUAAACUCAUAUAGUGUUAUGUUUAAAAAAGAAAAGAAAAAAAUAAAUAAAUAAAAAUCAAAGAUAUUUGGAAUUUUGGCAACAGCCAACAUACCCAUCAUACAGUUUUCACUUGACCUCGACCUCAUUUCAUGGAUCAGUGAACAAGGUUAAGGUACUGAUCUCAGAUACUAUAUACAAUAAGUCUAGAAUAUUCGGUGUAUGGAAGAACUGUGAGGUGUACAUGUGUUUUAGACCAUUGGUUUUCCCGUUUGAAUGGUUUUACACUUGUAAUUUUGGGGCCC
rnacentral:lncRNA from 1 species